UUUCACGCAUCCUGUGCAAGCCAUAGAGGCCAGCUUUCCCCUCCUGGAAGGAAAGGGAAGAAGUGCGGCUCGGGUGUUGGUUUCUGGCCAGUAGGACUGACAUGAUUUUGUGUUUUACUCUUGAGAGGCUGAAUUUAGCAACAAUGGUCAAGCAUAUAUGGGAGCUCAGAUCCACAUAAGGCGGCCCGAAAGCCAGACCACAACUUCUGUGGUAACCAGUUCAGAAGGCCAAACCACAGUCUCUUAGGCAACAAGUCCAGGAGACCCAACCAUAGCCUACGCAACUCUAAUGGUCAUCGACAGUUCUGGGCUUACAGUCCAGGGGUGUCACGAAUAAAGCUGCUAUGGAUAUUCACAUGCAAGUCUACGUAUAAACAUUACAUUUGUCUUGGGCAGAUAGAAGGCAUCGCAUUACUAGAUCAUACAAAACACCACAGGUGUCCCGAGGAAGGUGAUUUGGAGUACCAGAUCUUUUUCAACUCCACCCAAGUUCACUGCCUCUGUUAAGUAUGGG